GUGGUCAUUAUGUUUUGAAAAGAGACAGGAAAGAGGAAGUUACUUAUCAAACACAGGAAAUGCCAGUGGACAGAAUUGGCACAAUGUAGAGUUACUGGUCAUCAGAAAGCAACAGAAAGAUGUAUCUACCAAAAUGCAAGCUCAUUAUGGGUGCAAAGAAAAAGCAUGUGGCUCUCUCAUUUGGAACACUCAACUGUGCUUUAAAGAAGGAUUACCUGAAACUGACGGCAUAAUUGGUGGUGGGCCAGCCAAUCACAAAUGAGUUCUUGGAGACAUGACGGCCGCGCCGCAAAAGAUGAUGUCUACUGGACACGACAAAGCGAACAUUGCAAAUCCAUUUGUCCUUUGUGUCAGAACACUGAAGCUCAUCAGAAAUAGAACGGGGCAUCAGUUUACUGUCGGGGAUUUGUCGUGUCACGCCGCAUCCAAUAACAUCAUCACUUAUUAAACAUCAAUGGGUUUUAUUUGAUUUUGUCGCGCCGCUCACACCUGGUGUAGACACAAUGUUUUAAUAUGUGAAUUUGAAGUAUAUUCAUCAUCUGCUUUACGUUUACCUAGCACUAGCAGUUCUUUCACAAAAUUGUCCAUGCUUAGUGCAGAACAAUGCAUCAUUCAUUUAUAUUUGUACACGGCUCCCUGCAAUAUUCAAUUCUGAUUCUUCAAUCGUGCCAUCUAGUGGUCUAUUAUUGCAAGACAACAACCGCUACAACUGAUAACAGACCGUUACAGACUGUCAAGCGGGUGCUGUCAUUUUGAGAUAAUAAGUCAUUUUGAGAUA